CCUACGGGGGGCUGCAGUGGGGAAUAUUGGACAAUGGGGGCAACCCUGAUCCAGCCAUGCCGCGUGUGUGAAGAAGGCCCUCGGGUUGUAAAGCACUUUCAGUGAGGAAGAACGCCUGGUGGUUAAUACCCAUCAGGAAAGACAUCACUCACAGAAGAAGCACCGGCUAACUCCGUGCCAGCAGCCGCGGUAAUACGGAGGGUGCGAGCGUUAAUCGGAAUUACUGGGCGUAAAGCGCGCGUAGGUGGCUUGAUAAGCCGGUUGUGAAAGCCCCGGGCUCAACCUGGGAACGGCAUCCGGAACUGUCAAGCUUGAGUGCAGGAGAGGAAGGUAGAAUUCCCGGUGUAGCGGUGAAAUGCGUAGAGAUCGGGAGGAAUACCAGUGGCGAAGGCGGCCUUCUGGACUGACACUGACACUGAGGUGCGAAAGCGUGGGUAGCAAACAGGAUUAGAUACCCUUGUAGUC
rnacentral:rRNA from 1 species